AUAGCAUAUAUUAAAGUUGUUGCAGUUAAAAAGCUCGUAGUUGAAUUUUGGGCCUGGCUGGGUGGUCUUGCUGCAAGGUAAGCACUGCUCUGGUCGGGUCUUUCCUUCUGGGGAACCAGUGUGCUCUUAGUUGAGUGCGCUGGGGAUCCAGGACUUUUACUUUGAAAAAAUUAGAGUGUUUAAAGCAGGCUCACGCUUGAAUACAUUAGCAUGGAAUAAUAGAAUAGGACUUUGGUUCUAUUUUGUUGGUUUCUAGGACCGAAGUAAUGAUUAAUAGGGAUAGUUGGGGGCAUUAGUAUUUAAUUGUCAGAGGUGAAAUUCUUGGAUUUAUGAAAGACUAACUUCUG
rnacentral:rRNA from 1 species